GAUGAACGCUGGCGGCGUGCUUAACACAUGCAAGUCGAACGGAAAGGCCCAAGUUUGCUUGGGUACUCGAGUGGCGAACGGGUGAGUAACACGUGGGUGAUCUGCCCUGCACUUCGGGAUAAGCACGGGAAACUGGGUCUAAUACCGGAUAGGACCACAUUUUGGAUGGUGUGGUUGAGAGUUUUUCGGUGUGGGAUGAACUCGCGGCCUAUCAGCUUGUUGUUGGGGUAAUGGCCUACCAAGGCGUCGACGGGUAGCCGGCCUGAGAGGGUGAACGGCCACAUUGGGACUGAGAUACGGCCCAGACUCCUACGGGAGGCAGCAGUGGGGAAUAUUGCACAAUGGGCGGAAGCCUGAUGCAGCAACGCCGCGUGGGGGAUGACGGCCUUCGGGUUGUAAACCGCUUUCGCCAGGGACGAAGCGGAAGUGACGGUAACGGGUAAAGAAGCACCGGCUAACUACGUG
rnacentral:rRNA from 1 species